rnacentral:rRNA from 1 species
GACGAACGCUGGCGGCGUGCUUAACACAUGCAAGUCGAACGGAAAGGCCCUGCUUUUGUGGGGUGCUCGAGUGGCGAACGGGUGAGUAACACGUGAGUAACCUGCCCUUGACUUUGGGAUAACUUCAGGAAACUGGGGCUAAUACCGGAUAGGAGCUCCUGCUGCAUGGUGGGGGUUGGAAAGUUUCGGCGGUUGGGGAUGGACUCGCGGCUUAUCAGCUUGUUGGUGGGGUAGUGGCUUACCAAGGCUUUGACGGGUAGCCGGCCUGAGAGGGUGACCGGCCACAUUGGGACUGAGAGACGGCCCAGACGCCUACGGGAGGCAGCAGGGGGGAAUAUUGCAGAAUGGGCGGAAGCCUGAUGCAGCAACGCCGCGUGCGGGAUGACGGCCUUCGGGUUGUAAACCGAUUUCGCCUGUGACGAAGCGUGAGUGACGGUAAUGGGUAAAGAAGCAACGGCUAACUACGUG